ACACUUUACAUUGGUAAAUUGUAUGGUAUGUAAAUUAUAUCUUGAUAAAAUUGUUAUGAAAAACAAUCAGAAGCGUAAAAGCACUAUACAUGAUUAGACUUUUUCCAAAGUCUCAUGUUUUAGCCACUAUUAUUAUUAAAACAAAACUUACUCUAUUUUUCUUAAAGCAAAACAUUCUAAAUAAGAUCAUGCUUUGUUCAUUCAAUAUGAAAGUUUUUGCCAUAUGCCUGUUCUUCAGUAAAUGGAAUAAAGUAUGUUUCCAUAUGCCAAUACUUGCUUCUCUUCUAUCAUGAGCUUUUUGUGCCAUUUAGCUUUUCUAAGACAAAAGAGAAUGACUGGAAACAGGAUGUUACAUGCAGAAGCACAAUAUUUAGAACAUCUUUAGCUCUGCCUCCUCUAAGUUUAACUCAGCCUUGAUCUGAAAUAAAUUUACCUGAUAUAUAAAUGAAGAAUUAGAACACAUCUUAUUACUCACUUGUAUAAUACAAUUCUUGAUCAGCUUAUCCUCUGCUUUUCAGAAAACAUCCAGAAUCCCUUCACAAGUUCUAAGGCCCCAUGUGAUCUGGCCCUUGCUAACUUCUACCCUCUAGGGCUCCUUCCUGCUUCAGGGCACUGCUUAGUUGUUGUUUUUUUCUGGACUGCCCUUCUUGGCAUAAGAUAGCUGGUCAAUAAAUAUUUGUUAAGUGGAUGAAUAAACAUAAUUCUUUUAUUCCCUGAAUGUAACAUUUUCCCUAGAUGUAACAUAUCUUAAAUAGAUUACAGUCAGUUAAAGGUACCACUUCCUAACUAUGAAUUCAUGGAUGAACUUUAGGUGUCAGUGAAUCUUCUCAUAUUUUGCAAAAUUGCUUAUGUGGGAAGGUGCAUUUUCUGGAGAAAGUGUCCCCAAAACAUCUAUGACACAAAACAAGGUUAAGGACCUGAGUUAAGGGAAUAAUGAGGCUCAGAGAAAAAGAGAUAUGGAAGUACAGUGAGGGGCUGAAAGAGCCAUAGAAUGUGGUCACAGAAGGUAAACUGUUACUCUUCUCACCCUUGAUGCUAAGAACAUCAAGGAUCCUUAUACUUAAAAUAAAAAUGAGCUGAUGAAUGACUUCUUCUCUCACUCCCCACGGGUCUCUCUACAAAUGGGUAACUAUGAACACAGGCUUUCCUCUGGAGUAGUGGUAAUGGUGGUUUUCCACAGCAAAGGUCGUGCUCCCUGGGGGCUUUUUUUUUUUUGGUGAUACAGGGAUAGAAUCCUGGACCUUGGGUUAUCAGCACUAUGCUCUAACCAACCAAACUAACCAUCAGCCUCCCUAGGGGCUUUCUAAAACUACCUAUGCCAGCCCCCCAGUCCCCUGCCACAUAAGGGGUGGGUUGGAUGUGUAUGUGUACGUGUUACGUGUGUGUGUGUGUGUGUGAAACACUAACCUAAAUAAUGUACUCAAAAGAACCCUUCUAAAAUCCCAGUCAUGUUUUAGCAAAUUAAAACUGUUAAAAGAACAUGGAAUGUCCAAAAGGCAGUUUAUCUACUCAAAUCAAUAAAAACAUGUUUGUGGCAAUUUUAUCAUCUUUUCAAAAAAUUCCCUUGCCUUACAAAUUAGUAUGCAUUUGUGCAUAUGUUUACACAGACAAAUACACAUAAUUUAUUCUCUUAUGUUUUUUUUUUUUUUUCUUUGGUGGCUGGCCCGAUGGGGUUCCAAACAUUUAACCUUGUUUUUAUAACACUGUGCUCAAACCAACUGAGCUAACCAGCUAGCCCCCAUGCCCUCAUCUUUAGUUCAGCUUUCUAUAGAAGUAGGUUUCUGGAGCUCCCAGAUGACUACUUUCAGUCAGAGUUAGUGUUUCCAGGAGCCCCUCAGGCUUGACAUUAAG